rnacentral:lncRNA from 1 species
CCAAAUCCGGCCAUUUUGUUCCUUGACGCAGCAGAAGUGGGAUGCGGAUGCCGGUCGUGACGUUUGGCAUGAUGAAAAUGCGAUUUCAAUACCAAUUUGUCAAAUCAUUAACUCGGACUUGAGUGCCUGUUAAUUUUGUCGAAAUGUCGUGCCUCGUGUGUCUUGCCGCCUGUACCCGUACGUCUCGUCCCAUGCAAAAGCAAAAGUCUAACAAUCCCGCUUCUUGGUGCAGCCAGAUGGUGAAAGGUGUAAUGAAGACAACUUCAACUGUUGUAUGCAGGAUGUGGUGCCAGUGUUAUCCAGAAGUAGCUGUGCUGGAACUGUUAUAACGAAGUAGCUGUGCCAGAAUCUUUCCAAGUUGCUGACUUCAAAAUUUUAACUGUUUUCAUAUGUGUGGUUUGCUUUGCAAGUGGUAUCCCGUGUUGCUGACUUUAAAUAUUUUUAUUCGUUUUUAUUUGUGGUUUUGCUCUGCCAGUGAGUUGCUGACUUGAAUUGGUUUCAUCUUUUGUCUGUUUACUUGUGCAGUAUACGAUUGUGGCAAUCUGA